rnacentral:rRNA from 1 species
GGUGGUGGCUAGACCCAAGAGGUUAAGAGAGUUAAGCGUGCUAGGACGGGAGUAGUCCUAGGAUGGGUGACCCCCUGGGAAGUUGGGGCGUCACAAGCU